AAAUAAUGAAGUAAAAUUUACAUUUAGUUUCGACCUAAAAUUUAGGGAUUAUUUUAUCCUCUUAUUUA
rnacentral:tRNA from 1 species